AAUAGAUACCCUGGUAGUCCUGGCCGUAAACCAUGAGCACUGGGUAGGGGGCUCGCCGAUGGGCCCCCUGCCGCAGCGAAAGCGUGAAGUGCUCCGCCUGGGGAGUAUGGCCGCAAGGCUGAAACUCAAAGGAAUUGACGGGGGCUCACACAAGCGGUGGAGCAUGUGGCUUAAUUCGAGGCUACGCGAAGAACCUUAUCCCGGGCUUGACAUGCACGGAUUAGGCGGCGGAAACGUCGUCGACGCCUUCGGGUGGAACGUGCACAGGUGCUGCAUGGCUGUCGUCAGCUCGUGCCGUGAGGUGUUGGGUUAAGUCCCGUAACGAGCGAAACCCCUGCGACCAGUUGCCAUCAUUCAGUUGGGGACUCUGGUCGGACCGCCGGCGUCAAGCCGGAGGAAGGCGGGGACGACGUCAAGUCAUCAUGGCCCUUAUGCCCGGGGCUGCACACGUGCUACAAUGGGUCGGACAGAGCGUCGCCACCGCGCGAGCGGGAGCCAAUCGCAGAAACCGGCCCUCAGUUCGGAUUGGC
rnacentral:rRNA from 1 species